rnacentral:lncRNA from 1 species
AUGUUGUUUCUGACUCAUACUAGGCCUGACAUAUGCUUUGCUGUUCAACAUCUGAGUCAAUUCCUAAAAUGCCCCAGACUUCCACAUAUGACUGCUGUCCUGCAUGUUUUGAGAUACCUUAAAGGCACUCUUUCUAUGGGUCUAUUUUAUUCUGCCAGUGCUGAUUUCUCUGUUGUUGGUUAUUCUGAUUGUGACUGGGCUGCCUGCCCUGAUACUAGGAGAUCUGUUACUGGAUUUUGUGUACUUUUGGGUGGUUGCCUGAUUAGUUGGAAAUCUAAGAAGCAACUUGUUGUUUCUUUGUCUUCUGCUGAAGCAGAAUAUAGAGCCAUCAGCAAAGUUGUUGCUGAAUUAUCUUGGCUUUCUCGUUUAUUGGUUGACCUUGGGGUAUCUGUUUCUCUUCUUUUUUCUGCAUAUUGUGACAGUCAGGCUGCUGUCCAUAUAGCUAACAAUCCUGUUUUUCAUGAGCGCACCAAACACAUCGAGGUGGACUGCCAUUUUGUUCGUGACCUGCUACAGAAUGGUUUUCUCAAUCUGCUUCAUGUUCCUACUUCUCGUCAACUGGCUGACCUGCUCACUAAGCCAUUGCUUGGCACUGUGCUUCAUCCGUUGUUAUCCAAGUUGCAGGUGGUUUCCCCCUCCAACUUGAGGGGGGUGUUGAGAUGAGAGAUUAUAUGGCCUCCAAACCUAAGCACAAAUGAUUGUAUCCAUUGUAUAUACAUUGUAUUUUUGUUAUAUUUUCUAGUAUACAUUGUUUAUGUGAGAGCUGGGCUGUGAUGAAAGAGCAUAAAUGAUUGUAUGUAUAUACAUUGUAUAUUUAUUGCAUUUUCUGGUAUACAUUGUAUAUGUGGGAGUUGGGCUGUGAUGAUUUGUUGUUUGGG